rnacentral:rRNA from 1 species
AGAGUUUGAUCAUGGCUCAGGACGAACGCUGGCGGCACGCUUGACACAUGCAAGUCGAACGAGAGAAGAGGAGCUUGCUUUUCUGAUCUAGUGGCGGACGGGUGAGUAACACGUGAGCAAUCUGCCUUUCAGAGGGGGAUACCGAUUGGAAACGAUCGUUAAUACCGCAUAACAUAAUUGAACCGCAUGAUUUGAUUAUCAAAGAUUUAUCGCUGAAAGAUGAGCUCGCGUCUGAUUAGCUAGUUGGUAAGGUAACGGCUUACCAAGGCGACGAUCAGUAGCCGGACUGAGAGGUUGAUCGGCCACAUUGGGACUGAGACACGGCCCAGACUCCUACGGGAGGCAGCAGUGGGGAAUAUUGCACAAUGGAGGAAACUCUGAUGCAGCGAUGCCGCGUGAGGGAAGAGGGUUUUAGGAUUGUAAACCUCUGUCUUCAGGGACGAAAAAAGACGGUACCUGAGGAGGAAGCUCCGGCUAACUACGUGCCAGCAGCCGCGGUAAUACGUAGGGAGCGAGCGUUGUCCGGAAUUACUGGGUGUAAAGGGAGCGUAGGCGGGAUCGCAAGUCAGAUGUGAAAACUAUGGGCUUAACCCAUAAACUGCAUUUGAAACUGUGGUUCUUGAGUGAAGUAGAGGUAAGCGGAAUUCCUAGUGUAGCGGUGAAAUGCGUAGAUAUUAGGAGGAACAUCAGUGGCGAAGGCGGCUUACUGGGCUUUAACUGACGCUGAGGCUCGAAAGCGUGGGGGGCAAACAGGAUUAGAUACCCUGGUAGUCCACGCCGUAAACGAUGAUUACUAGGUGUGGGGGGACUGACCCCUUCCGUGCCGCAGCAAACGCAAUAAGUAAUCCACCUGGGGAGUACGACCGCAAGGUUGAAACUCAAAGGAAUUGACGGGGGCCCGCACAAGCAGUGGAGUAUGUGGAUUAAUUCGAAGCAACGCGAAGAACCUUACCAGGUCUUGACAUCGUAUGCAUAGCUCAGAGAUGAGUGAAAUCUCUUCGGAGACAUAUAGACAGGUGGUGCAUGGUUGUCGUCAGCUCGUGUCGUGAGAUGUUGGGUUAAGUCCCGCAACGAGCGCAACCCUUACUGUUAGUUGCUACGCAAGAGCACUCUAGCAGGACUGCCGUUGACAAAACGGAGGAAGGUGGGGAUGACGUCAAAUCAUCAUGCCCCUUAUGACCUGGGCCUCACACGUACUACAAUGGCUGUCAACAGAGGGAAGCAAAGCCGCGAGGUGGAGCGAACCCCUAAAAGCAGUCUUAGUUCGGAUUGUAGGCUGCAACCCGCCUACAUGAAGUCGGAAUUGCUAGUAAUCGCAGAUCAGCAUGCUGCGGUGAAUACGUUCCCGGGCCUUGUACACACCGCCCGUCACGCCAUGGGAGUCGGUAACACCCGAAGCCUGUAGUCUAACCGCAAGGAGGACGCAGUCGAAGGUGGGAUUGAUGACUGGGGUGAAGUCGUAACAAGGUA